UGGUGUUCCAGUAAAGCCAAUGACUCCC
rnacentral:piRNA from 1 species